GCGUUAAAGCACCGAUUCUCGUGCGAUCACCAAAGUUAAGCAACGUCGAGCUUGCUCAGUAACUAGAUGGUGAUCGCUUGGGAAUACCAGCGGCUGUAA